UGGGGAAUUUUGCGCAAUGGGGGAAACCCUGACGCAGCAACGCCGCGUGGAGGAUGAAGUCCCUUGGGAUGUAAACUCCUUUCGACCGGGACGAUAAUGACGGUACCGGUGGAAGAAGCCCCGGCUAACUCUGUGCCAGCAGCCGCGGUAAUACAGAGGGGGCAAGCGUUGUUCGGAAUUAUUGGGCGUAAAGGGUGCGUAGGCGGUGCGGUAAGUCUUCUGUGAAAUCUCCGGGCUCAACUCGGAGCCUGCAGGAGAAACUGCCGUGCUUGAGUAUGGGAGAGGUGAGUGGAAUUCCUGGUGUAGCGGUGAAAUGCGUAGAUAUCAGGAGGAACACCUGUGGCGAAAGCGGCUCACUGGACCAUAACUGACGCUGAGGCACGAAAGCUAGGGGAGCAAAC
rnacentral:rRNA from 1 species